CGUAGGGUGCGAGCGUUAAUCGGAAUUACUGGGCGUAAAGCGUGCGCAGGCGGUUCGUUAAGUCAGAUGUGAAAGCCCCGGGCUCAACCUGGGAACUGCAUUUGAAACUGGCGGGCUUGAGUGUGGCAGAGGGGGUGGAAUUCCGCGUGUAGCAGUGAAAUGCGUAGAGAUGCGGAGGAACACCGAUGGCGAAGGCAGCCCCCUGGGCCAACACUGACGCUCAGGCACGAAAGCGUGGGGAGCAAACAGGGAUUAGAUACCCUGGUAGUCCACGCCCUAAACGAUGCUCACUAGGUGUUGGGGAAGCGAUUCCUUGGUACCGUAGCUAACGCGUGAAGUGAGCCGCCCGGGGAGUACGGCCGCAAGGUUA
rnacentral:rRNA from 1 species